AGAGUUUGAUCAUGGCUCAGGAUUAACGUUGGCAGUGCGCCUAACACAUGCAAGUCGAGCGAUAUAGCGGCAGACGAGAGAGUAAUAGUAAGGAACUUACCCCCGAGUGAAGGAUAGCCAGCCGAAAGGUUGGGUAAUCCUGCAUAAUAUCGAAAGAUCAAAGCCUUCGGGCGCUUGGGGAGAGGCCUUACUCCUAUCAGCUAGUUGGUGAGGUAAAGGCUCACCAAGGCGAUGACGGGUAGCUGGUCUGAGAGGAUGAUCAGCCUCGAUGGGACUGAGACACGGCCCAUACUCCUACGGGAGGCAGCAGUUGGGGAUUUUGCACAAUGGAGGAAACUCUGAUGCAGCGACACUGCGUGAAGGAUGAAGGUUUUCGGAUCGUAAACUUCUUUUAGUGGGGAGUAAUCUUGAAAGUACCCACUGAAUAAGGACCGGCUAACUACGUG
rnacentral:rRNA from 1 species